ACUAUUUCCAGAAGCGUAAGGGUGAAGAAAUGGAAACAGAGAAGAGACAGUUGCCCAAAAAAUUUGUCUACCCUGCUCCACCCAGAGAAGCUGAUCUAUGUGAACUACAUCAACAGGCUCUCUUGCCUUCUGGCUUCUGGUGAAUUCAGCCCCAACAACAAAAGAUUUGAGGGAUGGAGAAGAAUAAGAUUGUGAUAAGUAUUCCACCGGUUGAUGCUCUGUGGUGUUGCCUUGAGAUGGUUGCGUUUCUGAACCUAAGAUCAGAGCGUCUUUCAAAGCAGCUCUCUCCACAUUAUUCCCUCUUUCCACCUUUGAUAAACACUCACUCCCUUUGCCAUUCAGGCCUAGGAAUAUUGAUAGCACUGCUGUUAGUAGUAGUGUGGUACUUCACUAUUGUUUGUGGUUUCUCUAUGCUGUCUCCACACUUUUGUAACUAGCCUCUUAUCCUUGAAUUAUUUUGAUUUGUGAGGAUCAUCUGUUUCCUAAUGGGCCCUUGACUAAAUAAAGGCUGGGAGUUUUUGAUCCAGCUGGCAUCCCCUUUCUAAGCCUGAAGAUUAUAGAUUUGGUAUUAAUAAAGUAGAUAAAGAGUUUAUCCUCCUUGUAGUUCCUUGUGAAUGGAGCAUCUGAUAGUGAACUUUUAUGCACACAAUUUUAUUAAAGAUUUAUUUGCUAUAAAGUGAAAACAUACCUGGUGAAGGCGGAAAAUAUCAGAGAAUAGUAAAUCAGUGAAUCAAAAGAUCUGUAUUUGAUCCAGAUAAUGUCUGAGAUCUGUUCUGCUCUCCAAUUUGAUAACGUUCACUCUGAAGUAUCAAUGUUUAUCAUCAUCUAGAUUGAGAGGUGUUUGCACAAUCUCACAUCUGCCCAGGUUGUGAGAUCAUUGGCUAUUCUCUGUUAUGUUAGCAGCUUCCAUCCUAGGCAGAGUCUCAUAAACAGAUAAAUGAUACUUGAGGACAGAAUAUUAGAUUUCACAGAUUCAAGCUCUCAUUCUUUGCUUAAAGAAAGUUUUGAUUUAUAGGUAAACAUACACAAUCAGAUGACACUGAUUUUUUGCUCUCAAAUAUUUGGUGAAAUGGGCAGUGGCAUAUCUGACAGAGAAUUCCAUAGAGACAAAUUAUUAUGUAACAAGGGCAACGAUAGAUGUCUCUACAAAUAUGUUUGCCAAGUAUCUGUUGGCAAUUUUCCUACUGUAUCUUGAUGCUCAUUUUGUUUUUAAUUUUAUUGUUUGCUAAAGGCUUGGAAUGAAAAUAUUAAAAGGGAAAUACCAAAGGAAUUAAUGCAAAAAUAGGAUGGAGCCCCAGAUAGUGUAUGAGAGUGGUGAUGGAGGCCUUGGGAAAAGAAGGAAGGGUUAACUGAGCUAAGGAAGCCUGCAUAUGCACAAGAGCUAACAAUAAGUAAUUAUCCAGAGUCUAAAAUAAUUCCUGUUUUUAACUCACUCUGAAGUGUACUGAUAAGUUACCAGUAUGCAGUGCCAACUAUUCUUUGGACUUGAGAAACUUGAGGAGCUCAUUCGGUGUGUACCUACAUCCUUUGUCUCAGGGUACGCUUUCAGUGGUUGCUGCCCUGAAUCCGGGCUUUAAAUGUAGCUGAUAAAGUGCCAGCACUUAAUAAGCUUUAGCCUGAAUAGGGAGAGUAAGGGGAAUAGAAGAAAAAGCAGUAAGAGAGCCUUCAACGGAAACAAACUAUGAAGGAAAAUCUCUAAGAAGUUGCAGUGAGGCCCAGAUACAGGCAACUGAAUCCUUACAAUGCAUUCCAGCUAAGGUGAAUAAGAAAAGCUACAGAGUAAAUUUUUACAGCAUACCAAGCCAGUAUUUUUCCUCCUUGAGUGUUGUCAUCACCGUUGUUAUCAUCAUUGUCAUCAUGUAUUUAGUGUGGAACCUGGUGAUGUACAAGUACUCUAGCAUUCUGAGGUCACUCUUAUUUCACAACCAAAUAAAAUGAUUCAAACCAUUGCAGAAAACUGUACAGCCUGUGGUGAUUCACUGACUUCUCAAAUAUUUCCAAAAAUUCUCCAAAAUUUAGAAUUUCCUGGACACUUUAUGCUCUCAUUUCCAAGAGUCAGCAGAAUUCUCAUUUUGUGUCCUAUGGCUCCUGUUGUCUCUCUAUUCCACUUUAUUGUAUUCAUUCACCCAAAGCACCAAUAACCUAAGUGUUAGGCUACUUAGGUUAAUUUUCACAUAGAAAAUUCCAAACAUAUAAUUUUCUAUGUGGGUGGCAUGUUUUGCUGUGGUAAGAGCAUGGAGUGUAAUCUCUCUCCCCAGAAGAAUGUUAUAACACCUUAUCAGACCACAUAUGCGAGUUAUUGGCCUCAACUACUCCAAAACACAUAUAAACCCAAGACUUUGACAGACAUUAAGAGCUUAGAGUGUGGCAGGGUACUUUCUGCCAGCCUUUGAGCUACUCUCUACAGCUUUGCCCACCAACACCAGCACUAUUUGAAAGCACUGAAGGAGCUUACAUAUCAUUGUGUUCAUCAAACGUCUCUUUCAAGAACCUCUUGUAGAAAGGUUAAGUGUUAAAAGAAAAGCUUCAGCAGAAUUAAAUUUAAAGGCGUUUAAUUGAGCAAUGAAUGAUUCAUGAAUUGGGCAGCCUUCAGAAUCACAGCAGAAUCAGAGACACUCCAGGGAUGCCUCAUGGUCAGAACAAAUUUAUAGUCCAAAAAAAGGGAAGUGACAUACAGAAAUCAGAAGUGAGGCACAGAAACAGCUGGAUUGGUUGCAGGUUGGCGUUUGCCUUAUUUGAACACAGUUUGAACACUUAGCAGCCUAUGAGUGGUUUAAGUAUGACCCCUGGGGUUGGCCAAGACUCAGCUAUUGUUACAGGCGCAUACCCUUAAGUUAGAUUUUCAAUUUUGUCUGCCAAUUAAGCUAGGUUACAAGUUCAUCCACAAGGACUCAAAUAUAGAAUUACAGAGUCCUUCUCAGGCCAUAUUUAGUUUGCUUUAACAUAAGCCUCAAACCUCCAUUAGACUUUACAUUCACAGAUGCCUGCUUCCAUCCUAAUUGAGCAGCUAGACUUUAAUAAUUGAACUCUAAACAAAAUUGGAAUUCACUCACUAUGUGCUUAAUGUACCUUGUCUAUUAAGUGUGUUCUCUGUGAGGUUUAUUCUCCUUAUUCUCCCUCUCUUUGAGUGUGGUGGAAAAAGCAGAGCAUUUUUAUGUGGCAAUAAACUGUAUGAUUGUGAUGAAUAAAAUCAUACUUUGAUCAUCUCCUUAUUUUAACCAUACAAAACACCAAGGCUGUUGUGUAAGAAUGCUGUAGAGAAGUUUUAAUAUCAAUAAAGAGGCAAACACAACACAACAUGGUACAGAAAAUAGCUCAAAAUAAAAUAUAUGAGCUGUUUCCACAUGCAAGGAGAUUGGGUGUUGCCUCUCCAACCUGACAACAAGUAAAAAUCUGAGCAAAAUGAAAAAAAUUAACAAUUCUUCUUAGAUCUCUAAGAGAAGUGAAGUCAUAGCACAAACUGCUGCUCCCCAAAUUGGAGAGACAGACAAAGAGGCACAAGGCAUUACAACUUUUCUCAAGCAGAAAUUCAUAGAAAUCUCCACAGGAGAUUUUCACAGUAAAUAUGAGACAAAAAUUCCUUUGGGGUUCCAACAGUAAAUUUCAGAGAAAAACCUCACAUUUUUAGCAGGGGGAGGGUAAAACGGACAUUUUUAAAUAUACCACAGCAUUCUGUUCUUAACAAAAACUGUUCUCAGGAGAAACUGAAGAGCCUAACCUGCUGGGAUGGUAUCAAGCCUAACUAACCUUGGGGAAUGGAAAUACCCAACUCCAGCUCACUCUAGCUAGAUAGAGUAAGCUCAUAAGUUAUCUUCAUCCUGUCUCACCAAAGGAGAGAAAAAAAUAAAACCUGAGAAUCAUGUGUAAAGUUCAUAGUCCGGAGGCACAGGCUCACUACGAGACUGACACCUAAUCAUAAGACUAAGAAUGUAUUUCCUCCCCCAACACCUUAACCACUACAUUACUAAAGGCCUAUUUAUGGCCAUUUCUUUUACCCAGCACAUCAUGUCUACCUAGAUAGCAAGAAAAAUUACAAGACAUACUAACUGGCAAAAUACACAGUUUGAAGAGGCAGAGCAAACAUCCCAACCAGACCCAGAUAUAGCAAGGAUAUUGAAAUGAUCAGACCCAGCAUUUAAACAACUAUUCAUAUGCUAAGAGCUGUAAUGGAGAAAGUAGACAGCAGGCAAGAACAGAUGGGCAAUGUAAGCAGACAGAUGGAAAUCCUAAGAAAGUCCCCAAAAGGAAUGCAAACCAAAAACACUAACAGAAAUGAAGAAUGCCUUUGAUGGGCUUAUUGGUAGGCUGGACAUAGCUGAGGAAACAAUCUCUGAGCUUCACAAUGUCUCCAAGAAAUCUCCAAAAUUGAAAGGCCAAUAGAAAAAAAUUCAUAAAAAUGUAGCAGAAUAUCUCAGUACUGUGGAACAACUACAAAAGUAGUAAUAUAUGAGGAGGGAGAAUACCAGAAGAGAAAAAAGA
rnacentral:lncRNA from 10 species